rnacentral:lncRNA from 1 species
AGGAGUGAGCUACACAAGCGCAGUAAAGACAUCACUCUACCUCACUGCCACAGGAGUAAGGGUGGGUAGAAAACAAAAAUGACCAAUUGAGCAUAAUUUGUAAUAAACCCAUUUGUUCAUAAAAACGUUUACUUUCCAUUUACCUGGGUGAGAUCCAUAAAACAAUACACAAGCAACACAUUAUCAUCAUCACGUUAUCACAUAGACUUUAUAAUACAACAUUUAUCACGCAUUUGCAUUUCAAUCUU